rnacentral:rRNA from 1 species
GAUGAACGCUGGCGGCGUGCCUAAUACAUGCAAGUCGAGCGAACAGAUAAGGAGCUUGCUCCUUUGACGUUAGCGGCGGACGGGUGAGUAACACGUGGGUAACCUACCUAUAAGACUGGGAUAACUUCGGGAAACCGGAGCUAAUACCGGAUAAUAUUUUGAACCGCAUGGUUCGAUAGUGAAAGAUGGUUUUGCUGUCACUUAUAGAUGGAUCCGCGCUGUAUUAGCUAGUUGGUAAGGUAACGGCUUACCAAGGCGACGAUACGUAGCCGACCUGAGAGGGUGAUCGGCCACACUGGAACUGAGACACGGUCCAGACUCCUACGGGAGGCAGCAGUAGGGAAUCUUCCGCAAUGGGCGAAAGCCUGACGGAGCAACGCCGCGUGAGUGAUGAAGGUCUUCGGAUCGUAAAACUCUGUUAUUAGGGAAGAACAUACGUGUAAGUAACUGUGCACGUCUUGACGGUACCUAAUCAGAAAGCCACGGCUAACUACGUG